rnacentral:rRNA from 1 species
UGAGGAAUAUUGGUCAAUGGGCGAGAGCCUGAACCAGCCAAGUAGCGUGCAGGAUGACGGCCCUAUGGGUUGUAAACUGCUUUUAUGUGGGGAUAAAGUGCGUGACGUGUCAUGCAUUGCAGGUACCACAUGAAUAAGGACCGGCUAAUUCCGUGCCAGCAGCCGCGGUAAUACGGAAGGUCCGGGCGUUAUCCGGAUUUAUUGGGUUUAAAGGGAGCGUAGGCUGUCUAUUAAGCGUGUUGUGAAAUUUACCGGCUCAACCGGUGGCUUGCAGCGCGAACUGGUCGACUUGAGUAUGCAGGAAGUAGGCGGAAUUCAUGGUGUAGCGGUGAAAUGCUUAGAUAUCAUGACGAACUCUGAUUGCGCAGGCAGCUUACUGUAGCAUAACUGACGCUGAUGCUCGAAAGUGCGGGUAUCAAACAGG